rnacentral:rRNA from 1 species
UACGUAGGGGGCGAGCGUUGUCCGAAUUUACUGGGCGUAAAGAGCGCGUAGGCGGGUUCUUAAGUGAGAGGUGAAAGGUUCAGGGCUCAACCCGAACAGUGCCUUUCAUACUGGGAGCCUUGAGUGUGGGAGAGGCGAGUGGAAUUUCUGGUGGAGCGGUGAAAUGCGUUGAGAUCGGAAGGAACGCCCGUGGCGAAAGCGAGGUCCUGGACGCCUACUGACGCUGAGACGCGAAAGCCAGGGGAGCGAACG